ACACUCCUACGGGAGGCAGCAGUGGGGAAUAUUGCACAAUGGGCGCAAGCCUGAUGCAGCCAUGCCGCGUGUAUGAAGAAGGCCUUCGGGUUGUAAAGUACUUUCAGCGGGGAGGAAGGCGAUAAGGUUAAUAACCUUGUCGAUUGACGUUACCCGCAGAAGAAGCACCGGCUAACUCCGUGCCAGCAGCCGCGGUAAUACGGAGGGUGCAAGCGUUAAUCGGAAUUACUGGGCGUAAAGCGCACGCAGGCGGUCUGUCAAGUCGGAUGUGAAAUCCCCGGGCUCAACCUGGGAACUGCAUUCGAAGCUGGCAGGCUAGAGUCUUGUAGAGGGGGGUAGAAUUCCAGGUGUAGCGGUGAAAUGCGUAGAGAUCUGGAGGAAUACCGGUGGCGAAGGCGGCCCCCUGGACAAAGACUGACGCUCAGGUGCGAAAGCGUGGGGAGCAAACAGGAUUAGAAACCCUUGUAGUCCCAUGAU
rnacentral:rRNA from 1 species